AGGGUUUGAUCCUGGCUCAGAACGAACGUUGGCGGCAUGGAUUAGGCAUGCAAGUCGAGGGAAUCCCAGCAAUGGGGGAACCGGCGUAAGGGGCAGUAAUGCGUGGGUACCUACCCUGGGGUCUGGGAUAGCCGUCCGAGAGGGCGGGUAAUACCGGAUGAUCUCGGGAGAGCAAAGGUCAGCCGCCCUGGGAGGGGCCCACGUGGUAUUACCUAGUUGGCGGGGUAAUGGCCCACCAAGGGGGAGAUGCCUAGCGGGUGUGAGAGCACGACCCGCGCCACUGGCACUGAGACACUGGCCAGACACCUACGGGUGGCUGCAGUCGAGGAUCUUCGNNACGGGCUAAGUUCGUGCCAGCAGCCGCGGUAAGACGAACCGUGCGAACGUUGUUCGGAAUCACUGGGCUUAAAGGGCGCGUAGGCGGGCUGCCAAGUCUGUGGUGAAAUCCUCCGGCUCAACCGGGGAAGUGCCUCGGAUACUGGCGGCCUCGAGGGGGGUAGGGGCGUGCGGAACUGUGGGUGGAGCGGUGAAAUGCGUUGAUAUCCACAGGAACUCCGGUGGCGAAGGCGGCACGCUGGACCUUCACUGACGCUGAGGCGCGAAAGCCAGGGGAGCGAACGGGAUUAGAUACCCCGGUAGUCCUGGCCGUAAACGGUGUGCAUUGGGCGUAGGCGGAUUCGACCCCGUCUGUGUCGUAGAUAACUCAUUAAAUGCACCGCCUGGGAAGUACGGUCGCAAGAUUAAAACUCAAAGAAAUUGACGGGGGCCCGCACAAGCGGCGGAGCAUGUUGCUUAAUUCGACGCGACGCGAAGAACCUUACCAAGGUUUGACAUGCAGGGAAAAGCCGUAGAGAUACGGUGUCCGUAAGGGUCCUGCACAGGUGGUGCAUGGCUGUCGUCAGCUCGUGUCGUGAGAUGUUGGGUUAAGUCCCGCAACGAGCGCAACCCUCGUCCUAUGUUGCCAGCGGGUAAUGCCGGGGACUCAUAGGAGACUGCCGGGGUCAACUCGGAGGAAGGUGGGGAUGACGU
rnacentral:rRNA from 1 species